CAUGGCUGUCGUCAGCUCGUGUCGUGAGAUGUUGGGUUAAGUCCCGCAACGAGCGCAACCCUUAUCAUUAGUUGCUACGCAAGGGCACUCUAAUGAGACUGCCGGUGACAAACCGGAGGAAGGUGGGGAUGACGUCAAGUCCUCAUGGCCCUUAUGGGUAGGGCUUCACACCGUCACUACAAUGGUCGGUACAGAGGUUGCCAAGCCGCGAGGCGGAGCCAAUCCCACAAAGCCGAUCGUAGUCCGGAUUGUUCUCUGCAACUCGAGAGCAUGAAGUCGGAAUCGCUAGUAAUCGCAGGUCAGCAUACUGCGGUGAAUACGUUCCCGGGUCUU
rnacentral:rRNA from 1 species